rnacentral:rRNA from 1 species
CUAUGGGUAACCACUGCGGAAUUCUUAGUGGCGAACGGGUGAGUAACACGUGAGAAACCUGCCCCGGAGACCGGAAUAGCCCAGGGAAACCUGGAUUAAUACCGGAUACCCUCCGACGAUCGCAUGAUCGACGGAGGAAAUGGUCCGCCGCUCCGGGAUGGUCUCGCGGCCUAUCAGUUAGUUGGUGAGGUAAUGGCUCACCAAGACUACGACGGGUAGCUGGUCUGAGAGGACGAUCAGCCACACUGGGACUGAGACACGGCCCAGACUCCUACGGGAGGCAGCAGCAGGGAAUUUUGCACAAUGGGCGCAAGCCUGAUGCAGCGACGCCGCGUGGGGGAUGAAUGCCUUCGGGUUGUAAACCCCUUUCAGGAGGGACGAAGCGAAAGCGACGGUACCUCCAGAAGAAGCCCCGGCCAACUACGUGCCUGCAGCCGCGGUAAUACGUAGGGGGCGAGCGUUGUCCGGAUUUAUUGGGCGUAAAGAGCUCGUAGGCGGCUCAGCAAGUCGGCCGUGAAAGCCUGAGGCUCAACCUCAGGACGCCGGUCGAAACUGCUGUGGCUAGGGUUCGGUAGAGGAGAGUGGAAUUCCCGGUGUAGCGGUGAAAUGCGCAGAUAUCGGGAGGAACACCAGUAGCGAAGGCGGCUCUCUGGGCCGAUACCGACGCUGAGGAGCGAAAGCUAGGGGAGCGAACAGGAUUAGAUACCCUGGUAGUCCUAGCUGUAAACGUUGGGCACUAGGUGUGGCGGACUCAUUGACGUCUGCCGUGC